AGCCAGUUUCAUUUCCCAUUAGGUCUGAACCCUGGUCUAUGUGGUUAAAAUAGGAGGGUAAAUACAAUGAAAAUGACUUCAAUGUUUUUGUAGCAUAUGGACUAUUUUCAAAAAGAU
rnacentral:snoRNA from 1 species